rnacentral:lncRNA from 10 species
CCAAACUUCAUUCCAAAUAGCAGCUUCCAAGGUGUUCUUCAGCCUUCCCUAGGCUAAACUUCUCCAUUGGAUCAAUAGCAGGUGGUCAACAAAGACAAAAACACCAUCUUCAGAAUGACUCAGAUCAUCCUCUUGGGCAGCCCUUUUUGGAUAUCUCUAUGAAAUUCUGCAGCUGAAAGCUGACACGCAUAAUUAUUUCCUGUUAGAUACUGAAGAAAAAAAAAAGCCCAGGAGAUAUUGUCGAGACUGUUUCUGGGGUGUGAUUGGGGGAUAGGAGAUGAAUGGUGUCAGAAUUGGAACAUGAAGUAGAACUUCCAGUAACCCCUAGGAGCAUCAAGUGACCCAGAGAGGUAACCCCCUCCACCAGGGUCCAUUGCAUCCAUUGCUCUCUCACAGCAACUGAGGCUCAUGGUGGUAACUUUGUGAGACAAGCCUCAAAUUUUACCACUGUACCAAGAAAUGAAAGCCAGAAUGUGGAAUUGGAGCUGGUAAUGACGACGUCAGGACAGGUUCAAAGGAAGCCCAUCACUUGAGUAAAAAUUUAUAGCCCUGCUUGUGCUGUGCUGUGCUGUGCUGUGAGUUUCAGUUCCGGGCCAGCAAAAGAUUUAUCAAAGGAAAGCAACAAGGUGUGUGGAAAUAGAAGGUAAGAAAAAUUAAUUUCAGAGAGGAAAAUAAAGUUGCUUGAGGGGCUCUUCAAUGACCAAAGGCCAUAAGAGACUGGAAGGCAAAAGGACCCAUUAAUGUAAUCCAAACAUCAGUCUCCUGCAGCAAAGAGGUGAAUGGAGAAGGGUGGAGAGUAGCUGUGGACGAGUGAAAAAGACAUCGCACCAUGUCUUCAAAUUACAUCCAGCAACUUCAUAUGAACUAUGAAACCCUUGUUGCCACAAUAGUCCCUCUUUGUUUGAACUACUACAAGAAUAAAGAAAUUUCUUUCUAAUCUUUUGCAGAAGAAUUACAUAGACUCUCACUUACUGCUCUUGUUUCAUAGGUGGCUGAUUUUCCAAUUAUAUUAAAUACUUUUGGAAGGGCUGGGACUACAUCUAAUUUCUUGAAAAGUCUGGUGCUGUGGAAGACCAAGACCCAGACUGUUGAGGUCAGCCUAAUGUAAUGUGAAAUAUCUAAACUCUGCGUACUUCUUUACCAUGAGUGUAUAGAUAAAAUAUCAUUGCAUUUAAGGAAAUUGCUUAAAGCCUCACAGUGAAUAAAGUUGACAAAACAUGUAGACUUAUUGCAGAUUUUAUGCAUUUAGGUUUUAUGGCUUCAUUUGCAAUCAGGACUCCCCUCCCCUCCCUUCCUCCCUUCCUUCCCUUCCCUUCCCUGUCCUUCUUUCUUUCCUUUCCUUCCCCUUCCUUCCUUCUCCUCGUCCUGUUU